ACCUUGUUUCUGGGCACUGUAGCAGUGACCAGAGUAUGGCAGGUGGGCUCUGCCUGCUCACUGCUAGUGUGCAGUGCUUUUUGUUGUUUUCAUACCCCUAAAACUUCUCACAGACAAGCAAGUGAGGGUAGGGUGGCUUUAAGUGGCAUCUGAUCUGCCAAGGCUUUAUGGUACCAACCAGCAGCCCUCCAGCAGAAGGCCUGCCUGCAAAGCCUGAGAAAGAAAGGGGUCCCUCUUUCUGCCUCGUCUUCUCUCAUGCCCCCAGACAGCUAUGCCAACAGUUUUCACUGUGAUAUGGUUGUGCUUGAGGGGUACGUGACUCAUCACAGGGGAUUUCUAUCGCUGGAACAAUCCUUGACUUAGUGAGCAGCUGCCUAGUUACAAAUGACACACCUGGUAGCUGGGGAAGAAGGUGUUCUGCUGUGCCUGUUGCUCUGGGAGCUGAUGGGAUCCUGCACUGCUGGGGAAGGAGGAACAAAGCUAUCAGGUCACCUGUCUGCUUGCGGAUGAUGCUAACAAGAGACUGAGGAAAUUUUGCCAGAUGGAACUCUCAGAAAAACCAGCAGUUGUGGACAAGGGGCCUUCAGGCCUGAGUUGAGGUCUGCUCCUUUUACCAAGCCAAACCAGAAAGCCCCAGUUUCAGGACAGUCCAUAUGGCAGAGCUGUGGAGGCUGGGACAUGAAAAGCCUGGUAAACUUGCUUCUCCAGUCCUCCAGAAGCCUACUUGAUAGGGUAUCAAGAAGUGGGUGUACAAGUAUAGAUGGGGACAACCUCUGAUGAGAUUAUGGCAAUUUUCAGGCAAAACUGAUUUUCUUUUUGAAGAACUGAGUGUGUGGAAAACAAAUGUUCUGCGCAAAAUGAAAGUAAAGUACUUUAUUCUCCAGCUGAGAACAUUCAGAGCCAAAGCAACUCAAAUCUGCUUCCCUAAAUUGCAGAUUUAUUACAUCUGAAGACACAAGAACUUUUGCUGCUGAUGAACACGGCAAAUCUCAUGUAGCAAGAUCUAGCACCUUUUAAGCUUUUUCCUUGCAUGGCCUCUAGAAGCUUCCAUUUCUGCAAAUAGAAAGAUGCUGAGAUGAUUUUCCCCAGUGGUAAGGUAUGCCAGGAUAUGGUUACGUCAACUCAGUCUGAAAGAAAUGUUUGAACUUCCCCCUAGGAGAUUACCCAAUAAGGUGGUGAGCGACUGCAAGAGAAGAAAAAAGAAACAAGGAAGAGAAUUUAUGUUAGAGACACUGUCCUCCUGGUAAUGCCAAACUAGUGCUGUCAUCUUCCUUGGAGUAGGCUGACAAUUCCAAUUCGAUGGAUCUAGGAUAUUAGUACAAAACACAAAGAUGUAUUUCUCACGUUUGUCUAGUGACUCUUCCCUAGACAGUGUUUGUGCAAGCUGUUUCUGGAAGAGAAGAUUAAAUGCAAAUCCUUGGAAUAAGUGUACUGAUUGCUGAGCUCUUCUGGUCAGCUAUCUAGGAUGUGGAAUAUUAAAUGCAAUGACAACCAGCUUUUGCUGGCAGAAGAAAAGCCUGGUAAAGAAGCCUGGUGAGUAACAGAGAAGAAUGUCUGAAAAGGUAUUGACUUCAAUGACCACUCAGGAAACAAAGCUCCAAGUAAGAUGGCUGCAGGAGUUUAUUUUGACCCACACAUUAUAAAUGUUUUAAUAAAUAGCUAUGCUCUC
rnacentral:lncRNA from 7 species